ACAACAACAAAAACAAAAAAAGAAAAAAAAAAAUCAUAUACACAUCUCCUUAUUCCUCUCGUUUUACAAAAGUUG
rnacentral:ribozyme from 12 species